rnacentral:lncRNA from 1 species
CUGAAGUGAUCUGCCCACCUCGGCUUCCCAAAGUGCUGGGACUGCAGGUGUGAGCCACUGCGCCUGGCCCCUUCAGGUGGGUUUUGAGGCUUCACGUUGCUGCUGCAAUAAAUUACCACACACUUAGUGGCUUAAAACAGCACAGAGGUAUUCCCUUACAUUUCUGAAGGCCAGAAUUCUAAAAUCAGUCCCACUGAGUCAAGGUGGGAGCAGGGUCAGUGCCUUCCCAGGCUCUGCGGGAGAAUCUGUUUCCUGGCCCUGGAGGCGGCCUGUACUCCUUAGCUUGUGCUGCCCUUCUGGAAUGACUCGAGUUUCCUGCUUUCAUCACUACACCUCCCACCGCUCUCCAUCACCUGCUGUGCUCUUACGAGGAUCCAGCUGAGACAUGUUUUAGGAAGUUUGCUAAAAGACCCCUGGAGACGUCCUCAUUGUGGCCUCCCUGCUGUUGUGUUUAAUUUGGUUGAUCUUCUCUGCCCUCCUGCUUUUCAGAAUUAAAAGGCUAAAAAGAGUUUUCAGAGAAAUGGAAUAAUUGUAUUGCUGAUCUACGUAAACAAGUUGAAGAAUUGUCUGAAAGAAAAUAUGGUGUGUCUGAACUGGAAAAGUCCUGUGAUAGUUUGUUCAUGAGCAUUUACACAAUGGAGUUACUGUUCAUCAUGGGGGUACUGUGGACAAGCCCAGGGCUGCUGACAUAAUCUUAUGAAUUCAACACAUGAAGAUUUACAACUUGAUAAACCAGCUUCAGGAGAUCAGAACUUCUUACAAUACAACUGAUGUUACUCAGCCUAGAACAAAUACAACAGGGAUUGUGCUGCAUUCUGACUUAGGUUCUGCCAUCGAACACAGAAUGCCCUGAUCCUUAGAGGCAGAGGCAGCUCUUCAGCCUAUGGGAAAACUGUGGAUUUAGUUACUCCACUCUGCCAUGUCCUUCCACCACUGCCUGCACAUUUGAGACCAAGGAUAGAGAUUGGGAAAAAUCCAUAGUUCUCCUGACUCAGAGUUUGGCUCCGGCACUCUCAUUUCAGCCAUAGCUGCAGACAAAGCACACGACUGCUGGGCACUGUGGCUCAAGAGAAGGGGGAGAUGCAGGAAGAAGAUGAGCCUUAAGUCUGAACACUGAGGAAUUCAUGUGCAUCAGUCAGACCUCCUGUGCAAGGAAGGAUGUGGUUACUACGGCAACCCUGCCUGGCAGGGUUUCUGCUCCAAGUGCUGGAGGGAAGAGUACCACAAAGCCAGGCAGAAGGAGAUUCAGGAGGACUGGGAGCUGGCGGAGCGACUCCAGUGGGAGGAAGAGGCCUUUGCCAGCAGUCAGAGCAGCCAAGGGGCCCAAUCCCUCACAUUCUCCAAGUUUGAAGGAAAGAAAACCAACGAGAAGACCCACGAGGUUACCACAGUGAAGAAAUCUUCAGUGCGUCUUCCAGGGUCGGAUCAAAGAAGGCAGAAAUUCAGGAAGCAAAAGCCAGUCCUUCCAUAAACCGGCGAACCAGCAUUGAAACGGAUAGAGUGUCUAAGGAGUUCAUAGAAUUUCUCAAGACCUUCCACAAGACAGGCCAAGAAAUCUAUAAACAGACCAAGCUGUUUUUGGAAGGGAUGCAUUACAAAAGGUGCCUCCAGAAAGGGUUGAGAAGAUAAUGGAUCAGAUUGAAAAGUACAUCAUGACUCAUCUCUGUAAAUAUGCGUUCUGUCCAGAACCCCAGUGAGCCUGGAAGACUGGGUGCUAUGGGAAAUGUCAUCAAUCCAAUGCUAGUGAAAGAUGUGACUGGGGAAUGCUGAAAAAUGCGCACCCCUGGGAGGAAUGAGGAAAGAUGACAUCCACUGACUUGUUAUUUUUUUGAGAAGGAGUCUUGCUCUGUUGCCCAGGCUGGAGUGUGGUGGCACGAUCUCGGCUCACUGAUGAUGAGAAGAAAGAUCUUGCCAUUCAAAAGAGGAUCAGAGUGGAAGCUUCUCUGUGGUGUCAGAAAGACGAGGAAUGUGGUGACCUCACCUAUCCAUCUCCCUCAAGGCAGCUUUUGUUUUUCUGCAGUGACCGUACUUGCAAUAAUUAAACAUAGUUGGUCAUUUAAAAUACAUCUCUGAUACUCUCGUCAAAGGUGGAGCCCAGUCCCUAUCGCCUUGAGUGAGGGCUGGGUUACGUGAUUCCCUUCUGACAGAUAGGAAAAAGCAAAAGUGAUGGCUUGCAACUUUGCAAACUACAUCAUAAAAGGUACUGUGGCUUCCUCCUUGCUCACUCUUUGAUUACUCACUUGGGAAAGCCAGCUGUCACACCAUGACACCUAAGCAGCCUGUAGAGAGGCUCAUGUAACAGGAACUGAGGCCUCCUGUCAGCAGUCACAUGAGGGAGCCAUCUUGGAAACAGGCUUUAGGUGACUGCAGUCUCAGUGGACAGCUUGAGUGCAAUGUCAUGAGACACCCUGAGCCCAAAUGACCCAGCUAUGCCACUCCUGAAUUCCUGACCCACAGAAAUGGAGAUCCUAAACCUGAACUGGUUAUUUCCUACUUGCCUCCUGGAGUUGCUAAUAAAAUAAACACUAAAGCUUCGCAGUUUCUAAAAAGACCAUGAAGCCCUGAGAGUAAUGAAAAGGUUCCUGAAAUUGAGGUCACUGUGGAAGGAGAAUCUAAUGCCUGAUGAUCUGUCACUAUCUCCCAUCACCCCCAGAUGGGACCAUCUAGUUGCAGGAAAAGAAGGUCAAGACUCCCAGUCAUUCUACAUUAUGCCUCAGCCAAGAUGUCUCACCCCACUCUCUCUGAUGCAACAAGAAGCCCCUGGAGAACGUUUCAGUCCCAUUUUGUACUUCUGUCAUGUGCUCAUCACAGUCUGGUGGAAUUUAAAUGACCUCUUAUCAAGAUGGAUAAACCCAAGUUUCCCAGUGCUGGAAUAUAGAAAAUGGAUGGACAAGUAAGUCCCACUCAGCACCCAUAGCCCAGACAUGGGGACCUCAACACACCUGGGCCCCAGACAUCACCUUUCAUUCCGAGGCAUAUGCCAUUCAAGCUAAGGGUGCUACACUUGACCACUGCGGCAGUAUAGAUGAGUCUGAAGAAUGGUAUGGGAUGGAUACUUACGAAUGCACUCGAGCAGGGGUCUCCAUCCACAGGGCCACAGAGCCAGAGGUGAGCAGCAGCUGGAUCUACCAUGAAAGACUUCAGAGUCCAGGAAGAGAGACUGAUUGGGCAACAUGUUAUUCAGUUACAAAAAGACUUGGACUAUGACUCAAAAAUGAUCAAAUAAUAGUGCAUGCAUCCAAUGCAAUAAGAAGCACUUCUGGAGGGUGAGAGAAGCAUCCAGUUAAGGUGACAUUGAAGCUGGGUCCUGAAAGAUGAGGAAGAAUUGUAUGAGAGUGGGCAGAGAAGGGGGAGGUGGAGGGAUGGGGAAUGGGCUGAGAUGGAGUGAGCUGCUCAAGCAGGGAAACCAGCACUGUAAAGACCUGGUCAAUAAAGAUGGCACAUUUUAUUCAGGGAAUGGUGAAUUAAUUGUGGCAGGAAUGCUUUGGAGAGAGAGUAAUUUGCUUGUAUGGAAUUUUGCCCAAGAGACCUCAUUACAGUUUCUAAUCUUUUGAUGUUAUCGUCUAUCACUGUCCUUGUCAGAUAGUUUGGAAUAGGUAUAAUGAUCACAAUAACAUCAAGCAUAAUAUUUCAUUAAUUCUCACAAAAUCACAGGUAGGUGCCACAGUUAUCCCCAUUUUGUGAAUGAAGUGAUGAAGACUUAGGAAUGAUGAGUGAUUGCCCAAGCUCACCUGGAUAUUAAGAGGUCUUGCUCUGUUGUCCAGGCUGGAAUGUGGUAGUGCUAU